UAAUAAGUGUUUUAUGGCACUUUUUAAAUCCAUAUCCAUCCUUGUGUGCAAUGUCAGUCGAUCUUCUUCAUGGAGAUCGACCAAACAUCAACCUUUAUCCUUUUAACUCUUUGUCUGAAAAAUAUUAUGAAUAAACAAUUCAAAAUA
rnacentral:misc_RNA from 1 species